AUGCUUACAGUAACAAUAAAUACUUUUCGAAAGAAAAAAAAGGUGGGUCGUCCAGGGUGAGGAUCAGCCAUUGCACUGCGGCGAUCUGACCUCUGUGAAUUCUCCACAUAGGAGAAUCUCAACUGCACAAUUUAUGGUAGUGGGGGACUGCGUUCGCGCUCUCCCCUG